rnacentral:rRNA from 1 species
GACGAACGCUGGCGGCGUGCCUAAUACAUGCAAGUUGAGCGCUGAAGGUUGGUACUUGUACCAACUGGAUGAGCAGCGAACGGGUGAGUAACGCGUGGGGAAUCUGCCUUUGAGCGGGGGACAACAUUUGGAAACGAAUGCUAAUACCGCAUAAAAACUUUAAACACAAGUUUUAAGUUUGAAAGAUGCAAUUGCAUCACUCAAGAUGAUCCCGCGUUGUAUUAGCUAGUUGGUGAGGUAAAGGCUCACCAAGGCGAUGAUACAUAGCCGACCUGAGAGGGUGAUCGGCCACAUUGGGACUGAGACACGGCCCAAACGCCUACGGGAGGCAGCAGUAGGGAAUCUUCGGCAAUGGACGAAAGUCUGACCGAGCAACGCCGCGUGAGUGAAGAAGGUUGUCGGAUCGUAAAACUCUGUUGGUAGAGAAGAACGUUGGUGAGAGUGGAAAGCUCAUCAAGUGACGGUAACUACCCAGAAAGGGACGGCUAACUACGUG